rnacentral:tRNA from 1 species
GGUUAAUUAGUUUAGAGGUAUAAGAAUACUGUUUUUGUAAAACAGGGGGGUCUGUUGGA